GGAGCGGCCCCAUUGAUCAAUGGCCUCCCGAGAACUGCCGAGAACAUCAAUUGAGACAGAAGCGCUUCAGGUGUGGCCCCUGGACCAGCAGCAUCCACCUCACCUGGGAACAUGUUGGAAAUGCAAGUUCUCCCCCUCCCCAGAUCUCCUAAAUCAGAUCCUCAGGGGCGAGGCCAGCACGCUGUGUUUGAACAAACCCUCGCACUGAUUCAGACGCAUGCUCUGCCACAGGCACAAGGUGACAGGUGUCAAGGGAACACAGAAAGACAGAGAGACGAAGGGGAGCUACUGGCAGUACCAACAGCCAAGACCUGGGGCCCUCUCCUCCUGCCUCCAGGAGGCCUGAUUUUCCCUUCCCUGCCUCCCUGCAGAAGUUCAAGGCUGUUCUUUAUGAAAGAACUUACAGGUGGCCUCAGGCCCCCUGUUGAAGGUCAUGGUAUCUUCCCUCUUGUCCUUUCCCAGUCCAGGAGCACUCGGCCGUGACCCCCGAGAGAUCCAUGCCCUGUCAUGCGCCUGCCUCUCAGCCUCUCCCCAGGCUAACUGCUGCAGUGCCAAGGAGGGCCCUGCCCUUUGCCUCUGUGCCCCCAUUGCCAGGGUUUCCUGUUCAGCUGUGAAGGGCUCCCUCGAUUGCUCCAGAGUCUGGAAUUUGGGAACACUUCAAGCAGAAAGUUUAUAAUUCACCUCCCAAUUCUUUCAGCCCUGUGAACUGCCUACUGCUUGAAAAACAAAAAACAUCAAGUGACUGCUGAUUAUGGACUAGAACAGAAAUCAUGCAAAUAUUCUUACUUUGGCUAAGUUAAAAU
rnacentral:lncRNA from 1 species